rnacentral:rRNA from 1 species
UAGGGAAUCUUCCACAAUGGGCGAAAGCCUGAUGGAGCAACGCCGCGUGAGUGAUGAAGGUUUUCGGAUCGUAAAACUCUGUUGUUAGGGAAGAACACCCGCGAGCGGAUCUCGGACUGACGGUACCUAACGAGAAAGCCCCGGCUAACUACGUGCCAGCAGCCGCGGUAAUACGUAGGGGGCAAGCGUUGUCCGGAUUUACUGGGUGUAAAUGGUGCUCAGGCGGAUUUGUAAGUCAGAGGUGAAAUCUUACAGCUUAACUGUGAAACUGCCUUUGAUACUGCAAGCCUAGAGUAUGGAAGAGAGUGAUGGAAUAUCUGGUGUAGCAGUGAAAUGCGUAGAUAUCAGAUAGAAAACCAAUGGCGAAGGCAGUCACUUGGUCAAUUACUGACGCUAGAGCACGAAAGCGUGGGUAGCAAACA